GACGAACGCUGGCGGCGUGCUUAACACAUGCAAGUCGAACGGAAAGGCCUGCUUUCCCUUGUGGAUUGCGGGUACUCGAGUGGCGAACGGGUGAGUAACACGUGAGUGAUCUGCCCCCAACUUGGGUAUAAGCCUGGGAAACUGGGUCUAAUUCCCGAUAGGACUGCAGGGUGGUGCCUGUGGUGGAAAACGAUUUUCUAGUGGUUGGGGAUGAGCUCGCGGCCUAUCAGCUUGUUGGUGGGGUAAUGGCCUACCAAGGCGGCGACGGGUAGCCGGCCUGAGAGGGUGGACGGCCACAUUGGGACUGAGAUACGGCCCAGACUCCUACGGGAGGCAGCAGUGGGGAAUAUUGCACGAUGGGCGGAAGCCUGAUGCGGCGACGCCGCGUGGGGGAUGACGGCCCUCGGGUUGUAAACUCCUUUCGACCGCGAGGAAGCCACCUGGUUGGAAGGGUGGUGACGGUAGUGGUAGAAGAAGCACCGGCUAACUACGUG
rnacentral:rRNA from 1 species